AAUGGGCGAAAGCCUGAUCCAGCCAUGCCGCGUGCAGGAUGAAGGCCUUCGGGUUGUAAACUGCUUUUGUACGGAACGAAAAGACUCUGGUUAAUACCUGGGGUCCAUGACGGUACCGUAAGAAUAAGCACCGGCUAACUACGUGCCAGCAGCCGCGGUAAUACGUAGGGUGCAAGCGUUAAUCGGAAUUACUGGGCGUAAAGCGUGCGCAGGCGGUUAUAUAAGACAGAUGUGAAAUCCCCGGGCUCAACCUGGGAACUGCAUUUGUGACUGUAUAGCUAGAGUACGGCAGAGGGGGAUGGAAUUCCGCGUGUAGCAGUGAAAUGCGUAGAUAUGCGGAGGAACACCGAUGGCGAAGGCAAUCCCCUGGGCCUGUACUGACGCUCAUGCACGAAAGCGUGGGGAGCAAA
rnacentral:rRNA from 1 species